AUCCUUUGUAGUUUAUAAGCCUGAUGAUUGGGUUUUCAUAUAUAUACAUGACAUGUGCCUCCCAUAAAUCUUGUUACGAUGUCGGCACAUUACCCGUCUGACA